CAGGGAGGAGCUGAGCUGUUACUGAACUAUAGAAGAGACACAAACUUCCACAUUCAACCCAGUUCACCACACCAACAUCAACUCUGCUCAUCAUGGACUAUUAUGGACUUUCUCUGAUCGUUGCCUCACUUCUAACAGGAGUCGGCUGUAAAGAACUGACAGCAGUCAAAGAUGAAGAGUCCGGUCUAGAAGGCAGCUCUGUUACUCUGUCCUACAGAUACUCCAAGCAAGGAGCUAUAGAUGAUUAUUUCUUCUGGUAUCGACAAUAUCAAGGAAAACCUCCAGAGUUCCUGAUCUCUCACUCAGGAACAGGAAGAGAAAUAUCUCAGCCGGUUCCUGGUCUGUCCUUUAAAGUGAGUGAAGAUAAAACCCAGAUGGACCUGCUGAUCUCCUCUGCUGCAGUGACAGACUCUGCUGUGUACUACUGUGCUGUGCAGCCCACAGUGACAGGAAACAGCAGAACUCUGUACAAGAACCUGCAGUACUCCACAACAUCCACUAGAGGGCCUCACAGGCUGCUCCACCUCUGGUUUGUCAGGAUUCAGUCUGAUUGAGCUGCUGAGAGAAAGCAGACAUCAGAGG